CCGCGGUUAUACGAGAGACCCUAAUUGAUAGGCACGGCGUAAAGAGUGGUUAGGGGUAGACUAUAAAUAAAGCUAAAGACCUUCUAAGCUGUCAUACGCACACCGAAGGCAUGAAGUCCUAAUACGAAAGUAGCUUUACUAUUAUCCUUGACGCCACGAAAGCUAAGAAACAAAC
rnacentral:rRNA from 1 species